rnacentral:pre_miRNA from 1 species
CGAUGACGACGAUGAUGAUGAUGAUGAUGAUGAUGAUGUUGGUGAUGAUCGUCAUCAUCACCAACAUCAUCAAAAUCAUCAUCACCAUCACAAUCA